rnacentral:rRNA from 1 species
GUAGCAGGAAGUGCUUGCACUUUGCUGACGAGUGGCGGACGGGUGAGUAAUACUUAGGAACAUGCCUUUGUGUGGGGGAUAACCAUUGGAAACGAUGGCUAAUACCGCAUAAUGUCUUUGGACCAAAGAGGGCUUUCGGGCUCUCGCGCAAAGAGUGGCCUAAGCGAGAUUAGCUUGUUGGUGAGGUAAAGGCUCACCAAGGCGACGAUCUCUAGCUGUUCUGAGAGGAAGAUCAGCCACACUGGGACUGAGACACGGCCCAGACUCCUACGGGAGGCAGCAGUGGGGAAUAUUGCACAAUGGGGGCAACCCUGAUGCAGCCAUGCCGCGUGUGUGAAGAAGGCCUUCGGGUUGUAAAGCACUUUCAGUUGUGAGGAAAGGUUGAUGGUUAAUACCCAUCAGCUGUGACGUUAGCAACAGAAGAAGCACCGGCUAACUCCGUGCCAGCAGCCGCGGUAAUACGGAGGGUGCGAGCGUUAAUCGGAAUUACUGGGCGUAAAGCGCACGCAGGCGGUUAUAUAAGCUAGAUGUGAAAGCCCCGGGCUCAACCUGGGAAUAGCAUUUAGAACUGUAUGACUAGAGUCUUGGAGAGGGGAGUGGAAUUCCAGGUGUAGCG